rnacentral:rRNA from 1 species
UACGGAGGGAGCUAGCGUUGUUCGGAAUUACUGGGCGUAAAGCGCGCGUAGGCGGCUUUGUAAGUUAGAGGUGAAAGCCCGGGGCUCAACCCCGGAACUGCCUUUAAGACUGCAUCGCUUGAAUCCAGGAGAGGUGAGUGGAAUUCCGAGUGUAGAGGUGAAAUUCGUAGAUAUUCGGAAGAACACCAGUGGCGAAGGCGGCUCACUGGACUGGUAUUGACGCUGAUGUGCGAAAGCGUGGGGGAGCAAACAGG